CGCUGGCCGUGCUGCGCCGCCACGCGCCGCCGCAAGAGGGCCCGCUGGCGGACGCCGCUCGCCUCCUCCGCAGCAUGGGGCUCGAGAUGGACGUGGCGUCGAGCGGCUCCGUGCACGACUCGCUGCAGGCAAUGGCCGCCAGGUGGCAGCAGGAGCUGACCCCGGACGAGGCACGAUCCCGCAUGGCCGUCGUCGUCAACCUCUCAGCAAGCCGAUGAACGCCGCCGAGUACUUCUGUUCGGGUGUGCUGACGCAGCCGGAGCAGUACCGGCACUACGCGCUGAGCGUGCCGCUCUACACGCACUUCACGUCGCCGAUCCGCCGCUACCCGGACGUGCUCGUGCACCGGCUGCUGGCCGCCGCGCUGCAGUACGACCGGCCGGCGCCGCUGCCGCCGCCGCUGGUG